UGCCGGCAGAGAAUAAAGAACUUUUAUAUUUA
rnacentral:piRNA from 1 species